rnacentral:rRNA from 1 species
GUAGGGGGCAAGCGUUGUCCGGAUUUAUUGGGCGUAAAGCGCUCGCAGGUGGCCCGAUGCGUCGUGCGUGAAAGACCCCGGCUCAACUGGGGGGCGUCGUGCGAUACGGUCGGGCUGGAGGCCAGUAGGGGGAUGCGGAAUUCCGGGUGUAGUGGUGGAAUGCGUAGAGAUCCGGAGGAACACCAGCGGCGAAGGCGGCAUCCUGGACUGGUCCUGACACUCAUGAGCGAAAGCGUGGGGAGCGAUCCGGAUUAGAUACCCGGGUAGUCCACGCCGUAAACGAUGCGCACUAGGUGUCGGGGGUAUCGACCCCCUCGGUGCCGCAGCCAACGCGAUAAGUGCGCCGCCUGGGGACUACGGCCGCAAGGCUAAA